rnacentral:rRNA from 1 species
UUUCCGGUUGAUCCCGCCGGACCUGACUGCUAUCGGAUUGAUACUAAGCCAUGCGAGUCAUUGUAGCAAUACAAGGCAGACGGCUCAGUAACGCGUAGUCAACCUAACCUAUGGACGGGAAUAACCUCGGGAAACUGAGAAUAAUGCCGGAUAGAACACUAUAUCUGGAAUGGUUUGUGUUCCAAAUGAUUUAUCGCCGUAGGAUGGGACUGCGGCCUAUCAGUUUGUUGGUGAGGUAAUGGCCCACCAAGACUAUUACAGGUACGGGCUCUGAGAGGAGUAGCCCGGAGAUGGGUACUGAGACACGGACCCAGGCCCUAUGGGGCGCAGCAGGCGAGAAAACUUUGCAAUGUGCGAAAGCACGACAAGGUUAAUCCGAGUGGUUUCUGCUAAAGGAACCUUUUGUCGGUCCUAGAAACACCGAUGAAUAAGGGGUGGGCAAGUUCUGGUGUCAGCCGCCGUGGUAAAACCAGCACCUCAAGUGGUCAGGAUGAUUAUUGGGCCUAAAGCAUCCGUAGCCUGCUUUGUUAGUUUUCGGUUAAAUCUAUACGCUCAACGUAUAGGCUGCCGGGAAUACUGCAAAGCUAGGGAGUGGGAGAGGUAGACGGUACUCGGUAGGAAGGGGUAAAAUCCUUUGAUCUAUUGAUGACCACCUGUGGCGAAGGCGGUCUACCAGAACACGUCCGACGGUGAGGGAUGAAAGCUGGGGGAGCAAACCGGAUUAGAUACCCGGGUAGUCCCAGCCGUAAACCAUGCAAACUCAGUGAUGCAUUGGCUUGUGGCCAAUGCAGUGCUGCAGGGAAGCCGUUAAGUUUGCCGCCUGGGAAGUACGUACGCAAGUAUGAAACUUAAAGGAAUUGGCGGGGGAGCACCACAAGGGGUGAAGCCUGCGGUUCAAUUGGAGUCAACGCCGGGA